rnacentral:rRNA from 1 species
AUGAACGCUGGCGGCGUGCCUCAUCCAUGCAAGUCGCGCGAACAGAUAAGGAGCUUGCUCCUUUGACGUUAGCGGCGGACGGGUGAGUAACACGUGGGUAACCUACCUAUAAGACUGGGAUAACUUCGGGAAACCGGAGCUAAUACCGGAUAACAUUUGGAACCGCAUGGUUCUAAAGUGAAAGAUGGUUUUGCUAUCACUUAUAGAUGGACCCGCGCCGUAUUAGCUAGUUGGUAAGGUAACGGCUUACCAAGGCGACGAUACGUAGCCGACCUGAGAGGGUGAUCGGCCACACUGGAACUGAGACACGGUCCAGACUCCUACGGGAGGCAGCAGUAGGGAAUCUUCCGCAAUAGGCGAAAGCCUGACGGAGCAACGCCGCGUGAGUGAUGAAGGGUUUCGGCUCGUAAAACUCUGUUAUUAGGGAAGAACAAAUGUGUAAGUAACUGUGCACGUCUUGACGGUACCUAAUCAGAAAGCCACGGCUAACUACGUG